rnacentral:rRNA from 1 species
GACGUAGGUGGCAAGCGUUGUCCGGAGUUAUUGGGCGUAAAGCGCGCGCAGGCGGUUCGGUAAGUCCAUGGUGAAAGCGCCCGGCUCAACUGGGCGAGUGCCGUGGGGACUGCCGAGCUGGAGGGGAGCAGAGGCGAGUGGAAUUCCGGGUGUAGUGGUGAAAUGCGUAGAGAUCCGGAGGAACCCCAGAGGCGAAGGCGGCUACCUGGACAAUUGCUGACGCUCAGGCACGAAAGCGUGGGGAGCAAAAGGGG